rnacentral:rRNA from 1 species
ACGGUAGCACGAAGAAAGCUUGCUUUCUUUGGUGACGAGUGGCGAACGGGUGAGUAAUGUAUCGGAACGUACCCAGUAGCGGGGGAUAACUACGCGAAAGCGUGGCUAAUACCGCAUACGCCCUACGGGGGAAAGGGGGGGAUCGCAAGACCUCUCACUAUUGGAGCGGCCGAUAUCGGAUUAGCUAGUUGGUGGGGUAAAGGCCUACCAAGGCGACGAUCCGUAGCUGGUUUGAGAGGACGACCAGCCACACUGGGACUGAGACACGGCCCAGACUCCUACGGGAGGCAGCAGUGGGGAAUUUUGGACAAUGGGGGCAACCCUGAUCCAGCCAUCCCGCGUGUGCGAUGAAGGCCUUCGGGUUGUAAAGCACUUUUGGCAGAGAAGAAACGACUCUGGAUAAUACCCGGGGUUAAUGACGGUAUCUGCAGAAUAAGCACCGGCUAACUACGUGCCAGCAGCCGCGGUAAUACGUAGGGUGCAAGCGUUAAUCGGAAUUACUGGGCGUAAAGCGUGCGCAGGCGGUUCGGAAAGAAAGAUGUGAAAUCCCAGAGCUUAACUUUGGAAUGGCAUUUUUAACUCCCGAGCUAGAGUAUGUCAGAGGGGGGUAGAAUUCCACGUGUAGCAGUGAAAUGCGUAGAGAUGUGGAGGAAUACCGAUGGCGAAGGCAGCCCCCUGGGAUAAUACUGACGCUCAUGCACGAAAGCGUGGG